rnacentral:rRNA from 1 species
AUUGAACGCUGGCGGCAGGCCUAACACAUGCAAGUCGAGCGGAUGAAGGGAGCUUGCUCCUGGAUUCAGCGGCGGACGGGUGAGUAAUGCCUAGGAAUCUGCCUGGUAGUGGGGGAUAACGUCCGGAAACGGGCGCUAAUACCGCAUACGUCCUGAGGGAGAAAGUGGGGGAUCUUCGGACCUCACGCUAUCAGAUGAGCCUAGGUCGGAUUAGCUAGUUGGUGGGGUAAAGGCCUACCAGGGCGACGAUCCGUAACUGGUCUGAGAGGAUGAUCAGUCACACUGGAGCUGAGACACGGUCCAGACUCCUACGGGAGGCAGCAGUGGGGAAUAUUGGACAAUGGGCGAAAGCCUGAUCCAGCCAUGCCGCGUGUGUGAAGAAGGUCUUCGGAUUGUAAAGCACUUUAAGUUGGGAGGAAGGGCAGUAAGUUAAUACCUUGCUGUUUUGACGUUACCAACAGAAUAAGCACCGGCUAACUUCGUG